GACGAACGCUGGCGGCGUGCUUAACACAUGCAAGUCGAACGGAAAGGCCCUGCUUUUGUGGGGUGCUCGAGUGGCGAACGGGUGAGUAACACGUGAGUAACCUGCCCUUGACUUUGGGAUAACUUCAGGAAACUGGGGCUAAUACCGGAUAGGAGCUCCUGCUGCAUGGUGGGGGUUGGAAAGUUUCGGCGGUUGGGGAUGGACUCGCGGCUUAUCAGCUUGUUGGUGGGGUAGUGGCUUACCAAGGCUUUGACGGGUAGCCGGCCUGAGAGGGUGACCGGCCACAUGGGAACGGGAGUACGCCCAGGACGCCUAGGGGGGGCAGGGUGGGGGAAUAUGCACAAAGGGGGGAAACCCUAUUCCGGAACCCCCGGGGGGGGGAUGAGGGCCUUGGGGUGGAAAACGCGUUUGCCUGGGAACAAAGGGGAGGUAACGGUAAGGGUAAAAAAAGCCCCGGCAAACUAGGG
rnacentral:rRNA from 1 species